AUGGAGCCGGCGACGUUCUUCCGGUGCGUGCCGGACCAUGGGGAGGACGACGACGACGAGCAGAGCAGCGGCGGGUGCUUCCUGGACGUGUACGUGCACGGCGCGCGCGGCAUCCACAACAUCUGCAUCUACGCGGACCAGGACGUGUACGCGCGCUUCUCCCUCACGUCCAGCCCGGGCCACGCGCCGGCGCUCUCCACGCGCGUGGCUGCCAGGGGCGGCGCCAGCCCGCGCUUCGACGAGCGCCUCCCGCCGGUGCGCGUCCGCCGGGGCAGGCUCGGCACCGACGCGCUCAAGUGCGAGGUGUGGAUGCGCAGCUGCGCAGAGAGCGUCCUCGAGGACCAGCUCCUCGGGUUCGCGCUCGUGCCGCUCGCCGCCGUCGCGGCCGCUCACGGCGCGCGGGUGGAGCGGCGGGAGUUCUCCCUCUCUUCGACAGAUCUCACCCACUCGCCCGCCGGCACGGUGAGCCUGUCCCUCGCCCUCCGCUCCGGCCGCGGCGACGCGUGUAUCGCGGGGCCGUCAGACCGCGCCGCGGCGGAGCCGUCGAUCACGUCUGAGGUGGUCAUCCUUGAGCCGCCAGCGCCGCCGGUGGACUACUUGGGUAUCGAGUUCCCUGACCUCAACACGGCCAAAGAGAACGACGACAUGGCCGUCCAGUACCUGCCGUUCUUGCACCUCGGGGUGGCGCCACAGGUGGCCAUGGAGACGGGCACGAGCCCACGCGGCGAGAAUUCGAUGUCGGUGUCCUCGGAGGGAAGCAAGAACGCCUCGACGACCACCACGACCAGCGACGACAGGGCGAUCGAUGUCUCCUCCUCGGCGGCGACAGAGAAGCCGCAUCGGCACGACGGCGCCCACGAGGCCACCGUGUCGGCGCCGAUGUGCUGCGGCGCGCCGGACACGCCGACGUCCAACGGAGGACCGGCGUAUGGCAAGGAGAAGGUCGACGUUUUCAAGUCUCCCAUGGCCGCCGGCGACGUCAUCGACAUGGAGGCGGAGCAGAGCGCGAUGCAGCGGCAGAUCAUGGAGAUGUACGUGAAGAGCAUGCAGCAGUUCACCGAGUCGCUGGGCGCGAUGAGGCUGCCGAUGCAGCUCGACGGCGACGGCGGCGCCGGGGUGGUCGUUCAGAGGGACGAGAAGAAGCCGGAGCCGGAGGCGAGGAAGGACGGGGCGAGGGUCUUCUACGGAAGCAGAGCUUUCUUCUGA
rnacentral:rRNA from 1 species